rnacentral:rRNA from 1 species
UACGAGGGGGGCAAGCGUUGUUCGGAAUUAUUGGGCGUAAAGGGCGCGUAGGCGGUCGGACAUGUCUUGUGUGAAAUCUUCGGGCUCAACUCGAAGUCUGCACAGGAAACUAUCUGGCUUGAGUGUGGGAGAGGUGAGUGGAAUUCCUGGUGUAGCGGUGAAAUGCGUAGAUAUCAGGAGGAACACCUGUGGCGAAAGCGGCUCACUGGACCACAACUGACGCUGAGGCGCGAAAGCUAGGGGAGCAAACAGG